rnacentral:rRNA from 1 species
UACGUAGGGGGCAAGCGUUGUCCGGAUUUAUUGGGCGUAAAGAGCGUGUAGGCGGCCUGAAAGGUCAGCUGUGAAAACUCGAGGCUCAACCUCGAGACGCCGGUGGAAACCGUUUGGCUAGAGUCCGGAAGAGGAGAGUGGAAUUCCUGGUGUAGCGGUGAAAUGCGCAGAUAUCAGGAAGAACACCCGUGGCUAAGGCGGCUCUCUAGUACGGUACUGACGCUGAGACGCGAAAGCGUGGGGAGCGAACAGG